UACGAAGGGGGCUAGCGUUGCUCGGAAUUACUGGGCGUAAAGGGCGCGUAGGCGGGUCGUUUAGUUAGAGGUGAAAGCCCAGGGCUCAACCCUGGAAUUGCCUUUAAUACUGGCGACCUUGAGUAUGGCAGAGGUGUGUGGAACUCCGAGUGUAGAGGUGAAAUUCGUAGAUAUUCGCAAGAACACCAGUGGCGAAGGCGGCUCACUGGCCCGGUACUGACGCUGAGGCACGAAAGCGUGGGGAGCAAACAGG
rnacentral:rRNA from 1 species